rnacentral:rRNA from 1 species
CCCUUAGAUGUUCUGGGCAGCACGCGCGCUACAAUGGUCUUCGCAAACGGAUGCAUUCUCGAAGGAGAAUGCCAAUCUUGGAAUCUAUGCCUUGGUCGGGACAGUUGCUUGCAAUUUUUCGACUCGAACCAGGAAUUCCUUGUAAUCGUGAUUCAUCACAUCACGAUGAAUACGUCUCUGCCCUUUGUACACACCGCCCGUCGCUCCUACCGAUCGAAGAGUUAGGUGAAUUGUUUUGAUCGAUAAGAUUUGACUAUGGUCAACUCUCGUUGUGAAAUUCUGUGAAUCUGACUGUUUAGAGGAAGGAAAAGUCGUAACA